CAGCAGCCGCGGGAAUACGAAGGGUGCAAGCGUUACUCGGAAUUACUGGGCGUAAAGCGUGCGUAGGUGGUGGUUUAAGUCCGUUGUGAAAGCCCUGGGCUCAACCUGGGAAUUGCAGUGGAUACUGGGUCACUAGAGUGUGGUAGAGGAUAGUGGAAUUUCCGGUGUAGCAGUGAAAUGCGUAGAGAUCGGAAGGAACAUCUGUGGCGAAGGCGACUAUCUGGGCCAACACUGACACUGAGGCACGAAAGCGUGGGGAGCAAACAGGAUUAGAUAUCCCAGUAGUCCCUGUCUCUUAUAC
rnacentral:rRNA from 1 species